rnacentral:rRNA from 1 species
AUUGAACGCUGGCGGCAGGCCUAACACAUGCAAGUCGAACGAGUGGCGGACGGGGGAGUAAUGUCUGGGAAACUGCCCGAUGGAGGGGGAUAACUACGGGAAACAGUAGCUAAUACCGCAUCCCAUCGGAUGUGCCCAGAUGGGAUUAGCUAGGGGGUGGGGUAACGGCUCACCUAGGCGACGAUCCCGAGCUGGUCUGAGAGGAUGACCAGCCACACUGGAACUGAGACACGGUCCAGACGCCUACGGGAGGCAGCAGUGGGGAAUAUUGCACAAUGGGCGCAAGCCUGAUGCAGCCAUGCCGCGUGUAUGAAGAAGGCCUUCGGGUUGUAAAGUACUUGCAGCGGGGAGGCGUUACUCGCAGAAGAAGCACCGGCUAACUCCGUGCCAGCAGCCGCGGUAAUUC